AAUCAACGCUGGCGGCGUGCCUAACACAUGCAAGUCGCACGAGAAAGGGACUUCGGUCCUGAGUACAGUGGCGCACGGGUGAGUAACACGUGAAUCAUCUACCUUCGAGUGGGGAAUAACUGAGAGAAAUCUUAGCUAAUACCGCAUAAUACCUACGGGUCAAAGCAGCAAUGCGCUUGAAGAGGAGUUCGCGGCAGAUUAGUUAGUUGGCAGGGUAAUGGCCUACCAAGACGAUGAUCUGUAUCCGGCCUGAGAGGGCGCACGGACACACUGGAACUGAAACACGGUCCAGACUCCUACGGGAGGCAGCAGUGGGGAAUUUUGCGCAAUGGGGGAAACCCGUGACGCAGCAACGCCGCGUGGAGGAUGAAAUCCCUUGGGAUGUAAACUCCUUCGAUCGGGAAGAU
rnacentral:rRNA from 1 species